rnacentral:rRNA from 1 species
UGAGGAAUAUUGGGCAAUGCCCGCAAGGGUGACCCAGCAACGCCGCGUGGAGGAUGAAUGUCGUAAGAUUGUAAACUCCUGUUAGAGGGGAAGAAUAGUACCGGUUGGACCGGUAUAUGACUGUACCCUCAGAGAAAGCCCCGGCUAACUACGUGCCAGCAGCCGCGGUAAUACGUAGGGGGCAAGCGUUGUCCGGAUUUACUGGGUGUAAAGCGUGCGUAGGUGGUUGUUUAAGUCUGAUGUGAAAGCCCUGGGCUCAACCUGGGAAUGGCAUCGGAAACUGGGCAGCUAGAGUUCGGUAGAGGGUAGUAGAAUUCCCGGUGUAGCAGUGAAAUGCGUAGAGAUCGGGAGUAACAUCUGUGGCGAAGGCGACUGCCUGGACCAGCACUGACACUGAGGCACGAAAGCGUGGGGAGCAAACA